AGGAGAAGAUUGGGGGGUGAGUGAAGAGGCCCAGGCCCCCUCCCCUACUCCCACUCCCAGAGCUGCUCAGCUGGAGACAAGGGAGAGGUCGUGCAUUCAACCUGCCCAGCCUUAAGUCUAGAUUAGUAUUUUUUUCUUUUAAACAUUUUUAAAAUGGACAUUUUCAAGUAUACACAAAGAUAGGGUAGCUUAACAAGCCCACAUGUACGUAUUACCCAGCUUUGGUAAUUAUCAACAUUUGCCAAUCUUACUUCAUCCAUGACCAACUCCCUUUAUUUUUCUGAAGUAUUUUAAAGCAAAUCCAAGACAUCACGUUUUGUAACUUGUCAAUAUUUCAAUAUGCAUUCAAACUGAUAAGAACUUAAAAAAAUGUUACAUACACCUGAUGCUAUUAUCACAUCUAUUAAAAAUUCCAAUAAAUAAUAUUAUUUAAUACCUAGUUCAUAUUUGGUUGUGCUAAUCAUUUCCAAAAUGUCUUUUUCCAGUUGGUUUUCUCGAAUGAGAAUUCAAACAAUUUCCAACCCGUGCAUUCAGUCAAUUCUCUUAAAUCUCUUUUAAUCUAUUCACUUUCUGUGCCAUUGAUUUGCUGGAGAAACUGGUAUUCGCACCCCCACUGGAUAAAAAUGGUCUUUGUUGGAAGAAAGACCACUGGAUAGCAGACCAGGAGACCCAUUCCCAAGGCCCAGCUCUGCUAGCAAUUAUCAGUAUGACCUUGGGAUACACAGUUGAGCUUUCUGCGUCUCAGUUUCCUUAUCUGAAAAAUGAAGAGUUUUGACCGGUGGUCUGUGAGGCCCCUUCUUAAACAGCAGAGGAAACAGGACAGAAAUGGCUGCUAUUCUCUGUAUGUUCUGGACCCUCAACCUCUCAACCUCCUACAAGGUAGGUAUUGUUUCUAUUUCUGAGCCUGUAAAAAACAACCAACCAGCCAAAUCCAGUCAGAUUUGGAAGCAAGCGGACCUUCCUCACCAGCACUGUCUUCUGACUUGAAGUCGCUCUGAAAAAGGAAGAAAUCUGGAGGCCUGAACAGGUGUUGUAAGUGGGCCACUGAGUUGUUUUCCUUAUCUCAAACUUUUCUGCUUCAUUGACCACAACAGUUUAUUUCUCGCCCAUGGACAGGACAUACAAUGUCUGAAGUCCUUUCAUAAUUCUAUAAUUCAUUAAGGUUUAAAUGGAGAAGUUUCCAGGACCAUGGAACAUUAGAAUGGGAAGGAACCUGAGCAAUAAUUUAUUCCAACUCCUUAUAUGGUGAAAAGAUCCUUUUACAACAUUCCCCAAAGCACUUACCUCCCUGUGGAGGCAACUCAUGGCCUCCUGAGGCAGCCCCUUCCAAUUUAGGCUAGCCACUCGAGAAGGCUUCCUUGCCCGAGAUUUUCCCUUCUGAAACUCUCACUUCUUGCUGUUUGGGCCUUGUUCUGUUUUCUGUUUUUUUAGAAACUGUUUAUUUUCUGUCAACCUUAUUUCCAUUUUCUGUUUAACAGUCUGUGGAAGGACAGAUUAAGGCCACUCAGUGGUUGUGCCUACCUGUUUGGGAGCCACGGACCAGUCCUCAGUGGUGGGCUGAGUGCUCCAGUCCCAGUAGCAAACUGCCUGGGAUCCGUAACCAGUGGAAGUGGUGGCUCCUGGAAGGCUGCCUGGAUCUGGUCCAGGGCUGGCAGCCCCUCUGUCUCUUGAAGAUGCUCCAGGAAAUUGGAAAAGAAAGCUCGGUUACUUUAUUAUGUAGAGCAAAUUAUCCUUCUCUUUGUUUUACAAUAAGCCUCAGUCAAUAGACAUGGAUAUAAAUGAUUUCAAUACUUGUGGAGGUGAUAUUUUGAGGCAGCAGAGCCUUGUGCAAAGGUGACUGUGGAAGAACGAGAUG